ensembl:lncRNA
AGGCAAGCACUGAGUCAGCUGUGGGAGCACAGGCAAAGGCAAUGCACCUGUGUGACCGGAAGGGGUGGAGCCAGGCUGCACCUCUCCUAGACCCCAUUUAAGGACUGAAUGCCAUGGAGGAAGGAUCUCUUCCUGGAGAUUGCUCCCAUGGGGGCUUUUCUGUGAGCCUGGGACACGGCACCAGGGGAAGGUCCCGGAUCUGCCCCAUUACCAUCCGUCAGGAAGCAAAGUGGAGCUGCUGGAAGAUAAUGCAUGCUGUAGAGUGAGGACUGACAACUACGCAAGGCCUGAGCACGGAGAUGUCAUAGCUGAAGAGAACUGAAGGAAGAGUCUCUAAUGUAGAGUGGACAUAGAAUGAUUGUGAGAGAGGAGUAGAAAAGCCCAUGUGGUUUCUAAAAUGCUGCUGUUUGUCAUACCUCAGAGUCCUCUUCCAUCCUCCUCAAGCAUCCCUCACAGUUCAUAGUACCCUAACAUUCACCUGGAACAGAAAGACCUUUCCUAGCCCCCUCUUUUUUAAUUCUGAAAUUUCUCACCUCCUACUGCUGCAGAAUUUAAUCAACUACACAAACGCAGAAUGUUUAAAACCAUGUUUCAGCCGAUGCUUGCUUUCUGCUUCAUUCUCCCCAUCCAGGGAAAGAGAAAUUCUUUUGAAAUCUGCCCGGUUUCUUCUGGUUCUUAGGCCUCUUCUUUGCCUCCAGUCAUAUAUUUAAAUAACCACGUGCUGAGACAAGGUGUAGCUUGACUCUGUCUUCAUUCCCUCAAUCUGGGCCUGGAAACCAAAGCUGAUAACCAGCCUUUCCCUUAAUCAAAACCCAGGAUAGGAUGUUCCAUCUCUUGAGAUCCUAAAAGCCUCUUUGGAGGGACUCUUCGGAGUCUGUUUUUUUUAAAAUCACUUGGGUUAUUUUUGAACCAGGAAAGGAUAACAGCCAGACCAGACAUUGGUAUCAGCUGGGAUGCAACAAUUAACAACUAAACAGGGGUGUAAGAAUUAGCCAAAAAUUAUGCCUCAUCCCCUGCUAACUGUACAAAAUAACAGCAUGGCUCUCACCUAGACUGGGGCUAAGGCCCAGGCCAAGCAUGCAAGGUGCACACAGCCUUGAACCAUUCCUUACUGCUUCCUUCUUUUCCUCUGAAGCACCAGUUAAACUAAGGAGAUCUUACAGCAUUGGAUUAUGAUUAACUUAUGAUCAGCUCCGUGUAAAUAUCGGAGAGCUACAGAGAAGCUCAAAUGUUAUCAUGGCUGUUCUCUUGGAUCACUUCAGAGAGGCAGGGUGUGUGGGAGGAGGAGAGCAAAGCUGUGUGCCAGAGGAGGCAAAAUGGCAAGGGGACAACAAGGCCGGGUCACCUGGAGCCGUCUGGUGUGACUGCAACGAGUGGGAAAGGAGUGCCUGACAGAGCAGAGGAUGAGCAGAACAAGGUGACACCAGUGAUAACAUUCUCAAGAUUAUUCUAUCAAGAAAGACCGGAAAAAAAAUAUCAGGGGCAGUAUCCAAAACAGUUUUAAAUUCAAUUGGCAGGGGUCAGAAGUCAUUACCAGCCGACAGCUGUAUCUGUGUUUCGUGUGAAACAAGCAGAGUGCUCGUGUAGUUCCUUGGCUUGUGUCCAAUUAAAACAAAAUACACUGAAAAAACUGCUAUGCUCCUGAGAAGGCCAAGGCACAAUGCAGGUGGAAGUGACCUACACCUCCCACAUAAGGAGAUCAAUCUGGGAAGCACCGAGAUGUGCUGCAGUGCUGUGCCAGCUUACUAGCAUGGAAACAGAGUUCCCAUAUUAACUACGAAUGUCUCUUUAAAGGUAGUAUACAGAUGCAGUGUAUUCCCUGAACUCUAUUCUUGGUAUGUUACUAAGAGACGGCUGUUUCUAUGGAGAGCUCAUUGGUGGGCAAAAUAAACCAUUUUGAUGAAUUAGAAAAAAGGCAAGAGCAAGUUACUUCUGUUUACUGGGAAAUGUUCGUCAGUGUUCUGGUUCAUUUGCGCUGCUGGAAGGGUGCAACUGAGCUGGAAGCAAGAGAAAUUUUUGCUGGCACUGCUCUUGCAAGCACAGCUCCCACUUGGCCCCACUGUGGAGAAAGCUGGAAUGAGCUGCACGUGGAGCUCCUCAAGCUCAGAAGCUUGCUGCUGCAUUAAAACACACUGCAGCCUACACCUUAGCACAGAGCUUGGCCUCCCUCACUGCACCUGGGCAUGCCACAAAGCAUGGACAUGGAUGUCCCAUCAGCUUUCCUGAGGAGUCCACGGUUUGGUUUCACGUAUUCAGCCUGCUUGGACAAAAGGCCUCGUGUCUGUGACACUGAACUUUGGCCAGCAAAAUAAAAGCAAAAAUCAGAACGUGUCCAAAAUGAAAAAAAAAAAAAAAAAAAAAAAAAAAGGAAAAAAAAACCCCAACAAAACGAAACAAUUGGCCAAAGUGUGCCCUAAGUGUAUCUGUGACCUGGUACUUGAAGCUCAAACACACAUUGCUGACAUCACUUCAGAUUUGGACGUAUUGUUCUAUUUUGUUCUUUGUGUGGUGGAAACAUGAC